rnacentral:tRNA from 1 species
GCCCCCGUUGUCUAAUGGUUAUGACGUCAGACUUCUAUCCUCGAAGUAUAAGUGGAUUGAUCUGGAGGUUGCGGGUUCGAGUCCCGCCGGGGGUU